GACGAACGCUGGCGGCGUGCUUAACACAUGCAAGUCGAACGGAAAGGCCCUGCUUUUGUGGGGUGCUCGAGUGGCGAACGGGUGAGUAACACGUGAGUAACCUGCCCUUGACUUUGGGAUAACUUCAGGAAACUGGGGCUAAUACCGGAUAGGAGCUCCUGCUGCAUGGUGGGGGUUGGAAAGUUUCGGCGGUUGGGGAUGGACUCGCGGCUUAUGAGCUUGUUGGUGGGGUAGUGGCUUACCAAGGCUUUGACGGGUAGCCGGCCUGAGAGGGUGACCGGCCACAUUGGGACUGAGAUACGGACCAGACUGCUACGGGAGGCAGCAGUGGGGAAUAUUGCACAAUGGGCGGAAGCCUGAUGCAGCAACGCCGCGUGCGGGAUGACGGCCUUCGGGUUGUAAACAGCUUUCGCAUGUGACGAAGAGUGCGUGACGGUAAUGGGUCAAGAAGCACCGGCUAACUACGUG
rnacentral:rRNA from 1 species